rnacentral:lncRNA from 1 species
GUUCUUUGGAAGGAUGAUGUAAGGCUAAGCAACUGAUGUCAGUACGGUUGAUGUCCACCAAUUGAGGUCCCUCGUAAGCAAAACGAGAUUGUCAGUAUCGCAUGGAAAAAUCAAUUUAAAGAGCAAAUACGAAAACGGAAAUGAAAACUGAGAAAGAAAGAUUGAUUGCAUUAACGAAAGCUAUUACAAAAGGCUACGUGGUGUCGAGGGGGAAAGGUACUGGUACAGAGAAAUGUUUGCUUGAUAGAAAGUUUGAUUGCUUGAUCCCCCCUAAUAAUGCUUACAAAAAUAAAUUAAAGCUACAAGACUAGACUUGACUAAGCUAAAGAAACAUAAUGGAUGUACUUGAAAUAAAACUACUCUAUAUUUACAAUGGAAAGGACUUAGUUAUUUACAAGGCAGAAAGCAGGUCCAUUCGCAGCAGCUUUGUCUUUUGCAUCAGGGUCUGUGCGAGCGAUGCUAUUGGCACGCGCGACACUAUUUGGAGUCCGCCGGCGGCUGGCCGCUGGCAAAGGCAUCAGGAUCUGCGCGCGGCGGUGCUAUUAACAUCAUCAUGAACUGUGCGCCUGACAUUGUCUAUGCUCGCGGCGCUAUUGGCAUCUGUCAGCCGCUGGGUGCUGGCGUAUGCACUUGGUGGGGUGACAGAGGCACAUGCGUGCUUGUCACUUGGCGCUGCUGAGACCUUGGUCCAACCAUGGACCUUGGCGUUGGGAGGCUUGCCAGGACUCCAUGGGGUGCAUCCAAGGUGUCAUGGGGCAUGGCUAGAAAUUCUCCCCCACCUGAGUUGGCGACGUCCUCGGAGCCUUACCUGCAAGAUGAUGAUUGAUCAGGCUCUUGUUGGUUGUAGGGUUUGUUCCCCUGUGUCUUGUAUAUUGGCUUUGUGAAUGAUGUUCCAUGUCUUUCCGAAGAGAUAUCAGGCGACUGACAUGGAAGACUGGAUUGAUCUUCCACCAAGCUAGGAUGGCAACCCGGUAUGUGGCUUUCUCUAUUGCGUCUUUUCACAGACAACGGCCCAAUAUGUUUUUGUAGUAAGCGAGGGUCAUAGGUCCUCUCAGCGAAAAAGUACCAGCUGGAAAGCCGCCCAUAAUAUAUAUUUUGUUUCUUUCUAGAAAGCAAAACAGAAGGAACACCAUUAGUAUUAUUUAUUAAGCCUAUUGGAAGGUGGAAUUUAAAUCAAAGUAAAUGGAGGUGAUGUGAUAUUUUUAAAAGUCAUUGCAAAACUGGCAUCCUCUAUGUCACUAUCCGAUGUUGUCUCAUCAAAGCUUUUAAUCUUGGCA